UGCAGAGGGCGCAAGCGUUGUCCGGAAUCAUUGGGCGUAAAGCGCGCGUAGGUGGCUUCGUAAGUCCGUUGUGAAAGUCAAAGGCUCAACCUUUGAAAGCCGAUGGAUACUGUGAAGCUAGAGUACGGAAGAGGCGAGUGGAAUUCCUGGUGUAGCGGUGGAAUGCGCAGAUAUCAGGAGGAACACCGAUAGCGAAGGCAGCUCGCUGGGACGUUACUGACACUGAGGCGCGAAAGCGUGGGGAGCGAACAGG
rnacentral:rRNA from 1 species